UCAGUUGUGACCUAGUGGAUCAGGUGAUUGACUGGAGAUCAAAAGGCCAUCGGUUCGAUCCCCAGCUCCACUGGG
rnacentral:tRNA from 1 species